GCGUUACUCGUUAGCUUUGCGCAGUGGCAGUAUCGUAGCCAAUGAGGUUUAUCCGAGGCGCGAUUAUUGCUAAUUGAAAACUUUUCCCAAUACCCCGCCGUGACGACUUGAAAUAUAGUCGGCAUUGGCAAUUUUUGACAGUCUCUACGGAGACUGAAUAUUUCAGUUCAAAAGAAGAACUGACGUCCGACAUUGCACGAAUGCUUGCUGUGAUCCUUGCCCACGUAGUCAGGAGGCCAGAGGUGUCCCAGGACAGACGCCCUCAAGAGGCCCACCCUUGCUCCUGGCAGAUCCAGGUGGACGUGCGUAGGCCAUCUCCCAUCAAACACUCCUCCGGUCUGUAAGCGAAAGGAUUUGGUUAUUAAGGGCUAAGGUGUGGUGGACAGGCAUCUAUUGCUUCAGGGCAGCCUUGGGGAAAACUGCCCCAGCGGUAAAUUAGACCCAAUCGCUGCUUCGGGGAGUUCAGUUUUGAGACAGGCCGCAAGUAAACGAACAGAUGAGCUAGAAAAUUACAGAUUAUUUCAGUGCUAUGAAGAAAAUAAGCAGGGAGCUGUGGUGGAGCCAUCAUUCUUUUCUUUUUUCUUUUCUUUC